rnacentral:Y_RNA from 1 species
GGCUGGUCCAAAGGUAGUGAGUUAUCUCGCUUGAUUGUUCACAGUCAGUUACAGAUUAAAUUCCUUUUUCUACUACUUUCCCCCCUUCUCACUAAUGCACUUGACUAGUCUUUA